rnacentral:lncRNA from 1 species
UGGUGAUCAGGUUAAUUCGUGGUUAGUUUGAAGAGAGACAACCAGUCAAGUUUAAUUAGUUGAGUAAAACCGGUAAGCUUCAGCUUCUUGAUUCAACCAUGUUUUGAUGAGAACCAAUUGCUGUAUGUUGGUUAACCUGCUACGAUCAGUUGUCUAAGGUCUUGUUCUCUUCAGUCUUGGUUGGUUUAUAAUUUAAUCAGUCUAAUAGAACCAGUAGACGAACUGAUAAGAAUUAUGGGAAUUAAACCGAACUGAUUUGAUCUUGUUUAGAACUGAAUUAAGCUGAGUAUGUUCUGAUCUGAUCUGAGCCGAGCUGUCUAUGGUCUGAAAUUGUCUUGAACUGAUGUCGUCUGAGUAUAACCGAGUUAAACUGUUGGGAACUGAUAUGAACCGAGUUAAAUUGUUAAAGCUUGAACCGAGCUGAACAUGGUAUCAAUCUGUCUUGAACCGAACUGAUAUGAGAGAACUGAACUGAAUUGUUAUGACCUGAGUUGAGUUUCUUCUUG